rnacentral:rRNA from 1 species
CCUACGGGGGGCUGCAGUCGAGAAUCUUCGGCAAUGGGCGCAAGCCCGACCGAGCGACGCCGCGUGGAGGACGAAGGCCUUCGGGUUGUAAACUCCUGUCGGGGGGGAACAAGGGCCGGUGCAGAGCCGGCCUCGAGUGAUCCCCGGAGGAAGCACGGGCUAAGUUCGUGCCAGCAGCCGCGGUAAGACGAACCGUGCGAACGUUAUUCGGAAUCACUGGGCUUAAAGCGCGUGUAGGCGGGCCGGUGCGUCGGCCGCUGAAAGCCCCCGGCUCAACCGGGGAAGCGGCGCCGAAACGACCGGCCUGGAGGGGGGUAGGGGGACCUGGAACUUCCGGUGGAGCGGUGAAAUGCGUUGAGAUCGGAAGGAACGCCCGUGGCGAAAGCGAGGUCCUGGACCCCUUCUGACGCUGAGACGCGAAAGCCAGGGGAGCGAACGGG